GACGAACGCUGGCGGCGUGCUUAACACAUGCAAGUCGAACGGAAAGGCCCUGCUUUUGUGGGGUGCUCGAGUGGCGAACGGGUGAGUAACACGUGAGUAACCUGCCCUUGACUUUGGGAUAACUUCAGGAAACUGGGGCUAAUACCGGAUAGGAGCUCCUGCUGCAUGGUGGGGGUUGGAAAGUUUCGGCGGUUGGGGAUGGACUCGCGGCUUAUCAGCUUGUUGGUGGGGUAGUGGCUUACCAAGGCUUUGACGGGUAGCCGGCCUGAGAGGGUGACCGGCCACAUUGGGACUGAGAUACGGCCCAGACUCCUACGGGAGGCAGCAGUGGGGAAUAUUGCACAAUGGGCUGAAGCCUGAUGCAGCAACGCCGCGUGCGGGAUGACGGCCUUCGGGUCGUAAACCGCUUUCGCCUGUGACGAAGCGUGAGUGACGGUAAUGGGUAAAGAAGCACCGGCUAACUACGUG
rnacentral:rRNA from 1 species